rnacentral:rRNA from 1 species
AGCGAACGCUGGUGGCAGGCCUAACACAUGCAAGUCGAACGAACCUUUCGGGGUUAGUGGCGGACGGGUGAGUAACACGUGGGAACGUGCCUUUAGGUUCGGAAUAACUCAGGGAAACUUGUGCUAAUACCGAAUGUGCCCUUCGGGGGAAAGAUUUAUCGCCUUUAGAGCGGCCCGCGUCUGAUUAGCUAGUUGGUUGAGGUAAUGGCUCACCAAGGCGACGAUCAGUAGCUGGUCUGAGAGGAUGAUCAGCCACAUUGGGACUGGGACACGGCCCAAACUCCUACGGGAGGCAGCAGUGGGGAAUCUUGCGCAAUGGGCGAAAGCCUGACGCAGCCAUGCCGCGUGAAUGAUGAAGGUCUUAGGAUUGUAAAAUUCUUUCACCGGGGACGAUAAUGACGGUACCCGGAGAAGAAGCCCCGGCUAACUUCGUG